UACGGAGGGUGCGAGCGUUAUCCGGAUUCACUGGGUUUAAAGGGCGCGUAGGCGGCUCUGCACGUCCGUUGUGAAAUCGCCCGGCUCAACUGGGCGGGGUCAGCGGAUACGGCGGAGCUUGAGCAAGCUAGGGGGCAAUGGAAUUCCCGGUGUAGUGGUGGAAUGCGUAGAUAUCGGGAGGAACACCAGUGGCGAAGGCGGUUGCCUGGGGCUUUGCUGACGCUGAUGCGCGAAAGCGUGGGGAGCGAGUCCGG
rnacentral:rRNA from 1 species